rnacentral:rRNA from 1 species
CCUACGGGAGGCAGCAGUGGGGAAUAUUGCACAAUGGGGGAAACCCUGAUGCAGCGACGCCGCGUGAGUGAAGAAGUAUUUCGGUAUGUAAAGCUCUAUCAGCAGGGAAGAUAAUGACGGUACCUGAGUAAGAAGCCCCGGCUAACUACGUAACAGCAGCCGCGGUCAUACGUAGGGGGCAAGCGUUAUCCGGAUGGAAUGGGUGUAAAGGGAGCGGAGACGGCAUGUCAAGUCUGAAGUGAAAGCCCGGGGAUCAACCGCGGGACUGCUUUGGAAACUGUUAAGCUGGAGUGCAGUAGAGGUAAGUGGAAUUCCUAGUGUAGCGGUGAAAUGCGUAGAUAUAUGGAAGAACACCAGUGGCGAAAGCGGCUUUCUGGUCUGUAACUGACGCUGAGGUUCGAAAGCGUGGGUAGCAAACAGGAUUAGAUACCCGAGUAGUC